GCUCCGAUUGCAACUCUGCCUCGUUCAAAAAUCAUAACACCGCCGCGGCCGCCACGUUUACCAGCCGGAGCCUCAAAUCAUGUCCCUUUGUGGUGAUAAAGAGGACACAGCCUGGUGUGAAGCUACAUUUAUUACGGAAGGAUGCCAGCCGGGAUCCGAACACGUCCGAUAUCAUCCAAGAGAAUGUGGCAGCUGAAGGGGAGAGGCCAAGGGUGAAGACAUUUAGCCACCCCCCCUGAAGUACAUGGCAUCAUCCAACCCUCUUGGUGAGCUACAGGAAUGUGCUUCCCAUUGCAGUGCACCAGCUCCAUGUACUGAUUUUGGUGUGAACUUGAUGGGGUUGGAGGAAACUUGACUCGGCCAUCAAGCUCACCACAAUAUAACAUGAAAAGUGAAAAUUGCUGCACACAACAGUCUGUCGUCUGCACCGGGAGGCAAGGCAGCUCAAAGCCCAGGCUGUUACAAAUCCUGGGCAGUUUUUGCCCAGAGCCAGCAAUUUUUUAGAUCCAAUAGGGAUGGAUUUUUUAUGAGGUCAGGUUCAACAUGCUGCAAGAUGCCAAGAUCUAAGCCUAGUAGGAGAUAUGGGUUACAAGAGAGGAGGUUUGCUCUGGCCUUAUACUAUCAAAGUCCAAAUGCUAAUAGAUUUCUGAGCACAGUAUUUCACUUGUCUUCAGUUUCAACACUUCAAUCAUGACUCAGGGGUAUUUCAGUACAUGUUGGCUGGAGCAAACAGACUCUGACAGCCCUGCAGCAAAGAGCACAGGCUUUGUCAAAGAAGAGAAACUUCGUGGGAUUUGCCAUUAUUUAGUAUUACUCUUGUUACGCCAAGAAUUUUUUUCCAUAUACUUUGCCAAAUAUUGCAAGUAAUGCACCAUUGUUGGGCUUGCUUGUUAUAAAUCAUAUCUUGUUCAAUUAACAAGCUUUGGGUGUCUGCCACUUUCCAGUUGUAAUGCAAGGAAUCAUUUAUCUUCUCUGCUAGAUA